AGACGCCUCAAUCUUGUUCCUCGCACUUCCGGCUACGUCCCGUCGACCGGUGUCUUGCACCCUACCUGUCGCUGGCCUUACUUGGCUCUGUUCGUUGGAUUGUGCCGGUUGAAUGCUUGCAUCCCGUGUUGUUGGGUGAUAUUCUGAACCGAAGAGCUAGCUGGAGCCAGCGAGUGUUUUGGCCUGGGAGGGAAACAGCUGAUUUCCUGAUACCGUGGGUUUGGGGAUAGCGACCACUGCUGUUUUGCCACACUUUAUCUUCACGACGAGCACUUCGUUUGCGUUUGUAACGCGCUGACCGUGAAGACGCCGACAAUUCAUUUUAAAGGGCUAAGUGCCAAUUGUCUUUUGUCUGUGUGUUCGUGAAUGUGUGUUUGUGAAUGUUUGUGCAUUUUACCGUGUGCAUGUAGAGUGUUGGUGUGGGUUCAUUGUUGAAUGUGCAUGUAUGGUUUUCUUUGUGUUGUGUGUUCGUUUACUUUGUUUUGAUUUUGGGGUUCUACACUGGCAGGAGGCAUUGGGUAGCAUAGCUGUGGAUUGCUAGUGCUUGUGUUACGGCCUUCUUAACUUUAGCUUUUCGUUUGUAUUUGUGUUCUGUCUGUCUGUUAUUCUUUUGGCUUUGAUUUAUUAUUCUUUCUUUAUUUUGUGUUAGACAUUGGUGGGAGGCUUUUGUACUGCUGUGGAUCAUCAGUGAUCCCUGU